GGUGAUGAUAUUUUUUCGGUCGCCAUAAUGAUUGAUUGGGCUGAUGGGUUUGGGCUUUAAAAUUGUCAUACCAUUACUGUGUUUCUGCUCGACUGAUGGGCUGCCGGAGAAUAUCUAGCAUUGUGUUAUGGGCCUCAGUGCAAAGAUUAUAAUCUUAGGAGUUGUAUUAUCUUAUCCUUCUACUUCAUCUUCUCUACUCUUUAACCCAGCUCCGAUUCUCUCCAAGGCCCAGACUCAGCAGCUCCUCCUACCCCACUCGGCGUUGCAAUCGGAUUCCUUCGCUGUUCUCUCAAGUAAUCUUCACAUAUCACUUUCUUCCGAUUCCGAAAUGUUGGUUUAUAUUUGAAAAUUUGACUUUGAGAGACUCGAACUGAACUUUGAUUGCAACGAUUGUUUUGUUGAUAUUGCUAGUGUGAUCUGCGUAUAAGAGAUGAUUUUUUCGUAUAAUGUAUGGCUGUUAUCGAAAUUGAACUCUAAAUCCAGAAUAAUGUGAAUUUUAUCUGUUAUUGGACUGGAAUUUGACAGAACACUGUUCGUACUUUGCAAUGACGCUGUUGAUGAUAAGACGCCGUGUGUCUUUUUAAACAGGUUGGGGAAUUUCGAUUUAUUUCCCUAAUUAUGAAUUAUAAAGCUCGGUAAACUAUCAACUUACAGUGCUUGCGGAAACCGUCUAAUUAUCGUCAAAAUUUUACUGGUGCUUCAGACAUGGAUCUUCUCUGUAGUGCAUACUCCGGGGACUCAGACGAUGAACCUGAAACGAAGCCUGAACCAACACCCGAACAUGAAAUCAGUAUGCUCCCUCUUCCAAAGAGGCAGAAACUUGGAUACUCAAAUCACCCAGUGCUUCCCCCGACCUACCAGUGUUCGCAUCUUUUAACUGAAUCUCCGGUUCCUGGGAGAUACAUAUCCAAAAGAGAGAGAGCAUUAUUAGAUUCCUUACCAGCAGCUCCAGGACAGGACCCGAAUCCUUCGGUCGUCAUUCCUCCAGGUAUUUAAUCUUCGCAGAGUUUUAGUUAUUACUUUUAGUGAUGUGUGUUUCGUUUAAGUUUUAUUAUUUUAUUAUUUUAUUUUCUAAUCUGAUUUUUUUGCUGUUUGGAGUUAUGAUGCUAAAUGUGGGUUAUUUAUGACGAGGAGUGUAAAUAAAAUACGAUUCAAUGAUAAAAGUUGUCAGGUAGAAAUCUUCAAGAAGUAAUUUGCAGGAUUAUUAGCGAUAAGUGUAAUUUUGAAGAGUUUCAUUGUUGUGUAGAAGUUAAUUAGUCUUCGUGUUGAUGGAUAAUGCAGACGAUAAAAAUGCAUCAAAGGGAAGGAAAUGUUUAUUGUUUGUUGAUGAUUUAUAUUGGAAAGGUUUGCAUGCCUCAUGUGAUGAGGAUUGUUCUGAAAUCAAUGAGAAAUUGGUGCUAUUAUUGAGAAAAAGAAUGGAACUGGAAAAAGGUUUUCUAUCAGUUCCCUCCCAAAAUUUCUGUUACCCAAGCAUUUGCUCUGUAUGAUAGACUGCUUCUAUGAUAAUUGAUACAUAAUGCGAAAGUCACACUUGAUGUGCCAUAGAACUUUUCAUGGUUCGAAUGAUUCUUUCCGUGGUCUGGAGUUUCCUUCUCAUAGCCACUAUCAUCUGUUUGUGCUGAUGAGAGGAAUAGGCUGCAAGGUACCACUUUGUGGGUUUCAGUCAAGACAAAAUCUCAAUUACUCUCCUUUGCUGAUACACCUCAUAGGCUGCUUCAUUUGUUGUAGCAGGCACUAGAUAUGUUCAUAUUUAAACUUGAUAGUUGAAACUGAUAGUUGUUCACUUGGCAAUGAUCAGUUUUCGUCUUUGUGCAUCUUUGAACAAAAAAAAGGACAACUUUCAACAAAAGGAACGUGCUUAUCCUUUGCUGAUAAAU
rnacentral:lncRNA from 1 species